UCAUUCAUCCUCUCAUCUCAAUUGUUUACCUCUGUCCUUUUGGUCUAUCUCGCUCCCUCUUCCUUGAUUCUACAACUGCCCCUCCUUUCUUCCCCGUCUUGUGAAAACAAACCUGCUCUUUUGAGCCGAAGCUGUACGGUGAGAGGGAGGAGGAAGGACGAUGAGCAUUUCACUUUGUUCCUAAAAACACAGCAGACAGCAAAAUAAGCAAUCUAGCUGGGUGCUUCAGUCAGCAAAUGUCCUGAGUGUCUACUCAACAAGAGCUUCUUCAUACACACAGAGUAAAUUGGCUAAAACAGGAAAGUGGCGGUGGACUAGUGGCAGAAACUUGGACUAUGGGCACACAGGUCUCUGGUUCGUCUCUGGUUAGACUCCACGGAGAAACAACAAAAAGAAGAACCUGGAUUGGUCUGUCCAAAAAUCCAAGAGGAUUCUCCCUACCCUGUCUAGUGCCCCUGAGCAAGGCACCUUACUCCCCCAACAUCUGCUCCCCGGGCGCCGUACAUGGUCACUCACUGCUCUGUGUGUCCUGCACCAAAUGGGUCAAAAUCAGAGGUUAAAUUUCCCUACCUGCAUGAGUGUGCCUGUGCAUGUCUGUGCAUGUGUUUGGGACUAAUAAAUGCAUCUUAAUCUUAAUCUUAAUGCUUUUGAAAUGUGCUGUACAAAUAAAUUUGUCAUGUCUUAUGUUACUUCAGAAGGCAACAACAUCUUCAACUAUCCUAACGACUGGGCCAUGCUGGCUGCGGUUGUACCGUGGUUCAGCCUCAGUUCAGCCUUCAGCAGUUCCAUGUCAGAACCUUGUGUUUUUCAUUUUUACCUUUGUCUCUCACUGUUUCCACUAAGUCAGGUGGGGGGAUUUUGGACUAA